AUUCAGCUGACGAGUCCCCAAAUCGAACGAAACGCACGUCCUAGAU
rnacentral:hammerhead_ribozyme from 1 species